UCAUAAAUGUGAGGUAAUCUUACAAGUAGUACUUGCAGAUUAAUGAUAUGAUUUUAUUAUUAUUAGAGGG
rnacentral:tRNA from 1 species